GCCCGCUCAAGAAACUUAAAGGAAGUUGACGGGGGCCCGCACAAGCGGUGGAGCACGUGGUUUAAUUCGAUGCAAACCGAAGAACCUUACCUGGGUUUGACAUGUACGUGUUACUGAUCUGAGAGGAGAGGGACCCAUGCUUCGGUAUGGGAGCGUACACAGGUGCUGCAUGGCUGUCGUCAGCUCGUGUCGUGAGAUGUUGGGUUAAGUCCCGCAACGAGCGCAACCCUUGCCUUUAGUUGCCAGCAGUUCGGCUGGGCACUCUAAAGGGACUGCCGGUGUUAAACCGGAGGAAGGUGGGGAUGACGUCAAGUCCUCAUGGCCUUUAUGACCAGGGCUACACACGUACUACAAUGGCCGAUACAAAGGGCAGCGACACUGCGAGGUGAAGCCAAUCCCGUAAAAUCGGUCUCAGUCCGGAUUGGAGUCUGCAACUCGACUCCAUGAAGUUGGAAUCGCUAGUAAUCGUGGAUCAGCAUGCCACGGUGAAUACGUUCCCGGGCCUU
rnacentral:rRNA from 1 species